CGGGGCAUGGCGCAGUCCGGUAGCGCAUCUGGUUUGGGACCAGAGGGUCGGGAGUUCGAAUCUCUCUGCCCCGACCA
rnacentral:tRNA from 1 species